CUACGGAGGACGCGAGCGUUAUCCGGAUUCAUUGGGUUUAAAGGGUGCGCAGGCGGCCGUGCAAGUCAGCGGUGAAAGCCCGGGGCUCAACCCCGGAAGUGCCGUUGAUACUGCAUGGCUGGAAUGCGGUCGAGGCGGGCGGAACGUGGCGUGUAGCGGGGAAAUGCGUAGAUAUGGCACAGAACGCCGAUGGCGGAGGCAGCUCGCCAGGCCUGCAUUGACGCUCGGGCACGAAAGCGUGGGGAUCGAACAGGAUUAGAUACCCUGGUAGUCCACGCCGUAAACGAUGGGCGCUCGUCGUCGGCGGCAGACAGUCGGCGGCCAAGCGAAAGCGAUAAGCGCCCCACCUGGGGAGUACGGUCGCAAGGCUGAAACUCAAAUGAAUUGACGGGG
rnacentral:rRNA from 1 species